rnacentral:rRNA from 1 species
ACGGGUGAGUAACGCGUGGGAACGUGCCCUUCGGUUCGGAAUAACUCAGGGAAACUUGAGCUAAUACCGGAUACGCCCUUUUGGGGAAAGGCUUGACUGCCGAAGGAUCGGCCCGCGUCUGAUUAGCUAGUUGGUGAGGUUACGGCUCACCAAGGCGACGAUCAGUAGCUGGUCUGAGAGGAUGAUCAGCCACACUGGGACUGAGACACGGCCCAGACUCCUACGGGAGGCAGCAGUGGGGAAUAUUGGACAAUGGGGGCAACCCUGAUCCAGCCAUGCCGCGUGAGUGAUGACGGCCUUAGGGUUGUAAAGCUCUUUUCUCCGGGACGAUAAUGACGGUACCGGAGGAAUAAGCCCCGGCUAACUUCGUGCCAGCAGCCGCGGUAAUACGAAGGGGGCUAGCGUUGCUCGGAAUCACUGGGCGUAAAGGGCGCGUAGGCGGCUGAUUCAGUCGAGGGUGAAAGCCCGUGGCUCAACCACGGAAUGGCCUUCGAUACUGGUUGGCUUGAGACCGGAAGAGGACAGCGGAACUGCGAGU